GGUUUCACUAUGUAGUCCAGGCUGUCCUUGAACUCACUGUGUAGCCCAGGCUGGCCUUGAACUUGCAGCAAUCCUCCUGCCUCAGCCUCCCGAGUACUGGGAUGACAGGCGUGUGCCACCAAGCCGG
rnacentral:miRNA from 1 species